AUACGGAGGGGGCUAGCGUUGUUCGGAAUUACUGGGCGUAAAGCGCGCGUAGGCGGCGCACAUAGUCAGUGGUGAAAGCCCUGGGCUCAACCCAGGAAUUGCCUUUGAUACUAGUGUGCUUGAGUCCGGGAGAGGGUAGUGGAAUUCCCAGUGUAGAGGUGAAAUUCGUAGAUAUUGGGAAGAACACCGGUUGCGAAGGCGGCUACCUGGCCCGGUACUGACGCUGAGGUGCGAAAGCGUGGGGAGCAAACAGGAUUAGAAACCCCAGUAGUCC
rnacentral:rRNA from 1 species